rnacentral:rRNA from 1 species
UACGAAGGGGGCUAGCGUUGCUCGGAACCACUGGGCGUAAAGCGCACGUAGGCGGCUUUUUAAGUCAGGGGUGAAAUCCUGGAGCUCAACUCCAGAACUGCCUUUGAUACUGAGAAGCUUGAGUCCGGGAGAGGUGAGUGGAACUGCGAGUGUAGAGGUGAAAUUCGUAGAUAUUCGGAAGAACACCAGUGGCGAAGGCGGCUCACUGGCCCGGUACUGACGCUGAUGUGCGAAAGCGUGGGGAGCAAACAGG